GACGAACGCUGGCGGCGUGCUUAACACAUGCAAGUCGAACGGAAAGGCCCUGCUUUUGUGGGGUGCUCGAGUGGCGAACGGGUGAGUAACACGUGAGUAACCUGCCCUUGACUUUGGGAUAACUUCAGGAAACUGGGGCCAAUACCGGAUAGGAGCUCCUGCUGCACGGUGGGGGUUGGAAAGUUUCGGCGGUUGGGGAUGGAAUCGCGGCUUAUCAGCUUGUUGGUGGGGUAGUGGCUUACCAAGGCUUUGACGGGUAGCCGGCCUGAGAGGGUGACCGGCCACAUUGGGACUGAGAUACGGCCCAGACUCCUACGGGAGGCAGCAGUGGGGAAUAUUGCACAAUGGGCGGAAGCCCGAUGCAGCAACGCCGCGUGCGGGAUGACGGCCUUCGGGUUGUAAACCGCUUUCGCCUGUGACGAAGCGUGAGUGACGGUAAUGGGUAAAGAAGCACCGGCUAACUACGUG
rnacentral:rRNA from 1 species